rnacentral:tRNA from 2 species
AGGGUAUUAUCUUAAAGGUAAAGAAGAGCAUUACGGCCGCUUAGCUAUAGGUUCAAGUCCUAUAUACCCUU